AUCCCUAUGGCAUAGUGGUAGUGUGCUUUGCUCUUGUAGAUGGGGCAACUUAUGUAUGUCCCAUAUGGCAAGUUGUCCUAUAUAGUGUUAGAGAGGUUAGGGGUUCAAUUCCUCCUGGGGGCA